rnacentral:lncRNA from 1 species
CCCUCAAUGCAUCAAUCAAGGGAAUAUUAAUGUGAAGAUGUGAAGUUGCUUGAAGAUAUCAAGGAACUUCUUAAAAUUUACAUCCUCAUUGCUUUUAUAGAAUCUUUAUGGGAAUAGCGGUAGAGGUCUCUCAAACCCCUCUUUCUCUUCUUUCCUCUUGAACACGCUCUGUCUCUGAAGUUGGUACUGGAAUUAACCUUUGUGGGAAAGGAGGUGGAUGCUUGUAGUUGUCCCAGUUAAUUACUCUCCUCUUUGGAGGCUCUACAUCCGAUAAUUCUAUAUUUGUGUCUUGAAUUCUCUGUUUAGGAUGAGCUUCAACCAACUCUUUUUUAUUUUUCUGAGCGAGUCUGCCAUUACAUGUUUAGUAUUAUUCUCUGUAUCACUCGGUAGUGCACUUUUAGGUCUUGCAUGUUGUGAUGAGGUAGUUGGACCACUUGACACUCAAGUCAUGAAUGGAUUUCUGCAUUUCAUUCACAAUCUGAGGGUGUUGUCCUAUAAACUGUUUCAUUGUCUCCUUUAAUGAAUUGCUCACUUGUGGAGCUUAUGGUGUAUAUUGUUGUCUUUGGGCCUGUUGAUUUCCACCCCAUGAAAAAUUUGGGUGAUUUUGUAGUUUUACUGCCCCACAUAAUAUAUAAAUUUUGAAUUUAAAGGAUAUCCAGAGUAAGCAUAAUUUUCACCACACUUCUCAUAAAAUAAUACA